AUUGGAUUCAACUUCUAUAUUCUUUGAAGUUCAAGACCCAUCCCUCCUUCCUUCUAAGUCUGACACAGUUUCUCAGUCAAAAAUUAACAUGGAUCCAUGAUCAAGAUAUCCAUGUUAAUUUUUGACUUGCACUUGCAUCUGAUCGGAUAUGCAAUUCCAGUCAUAUGCCUCCUUUCUUGCAACUGCCUACAGUUUUGUCAGCGUGUGGUGGUAUUCACCAUUAUGUGGCUCCAUGGUUGGUCCCGUUUGGUGCCCAGCUGCUCGAUGUUGUUCUUCGAUGAUUGUAUGAGAAAUCCUCUGGCUGGCUUCUGAAGAAACUGAUGUCAUGUUCACAUGUUAGAACAUGGAUAGGUACUUCUGGAUUGUCCCUAAAUCCUGGGCAGAUGCAUACCAAAGAAUUUCUUCUAAUUGGUUAUCAUUUCUACACUCACCUGCAUGGUUAAAAUUCAGGUUGAGCUGGUUAAGCCUCCAAAAUAUGCAGCCGCGGGGGAGAAGCUGACCUUUGCUGGGUACUCGGGAUGAGCGUCGGAAGAUGAUGAGGAAGAAAUCCUAGACAAAAAAAAACAUGUUGCACUAGGCAGGUGAUUGCCGUGUUACAAACAGAAUCUAAGUUUGCUUGCCACUAUAAACACCGGAACUCACUCUGUUAGGCUCUUUGACCGUGCAAUGGUGCUUCUUUGGAAACUUCA